UACAGAGGUCUCAAGCGUUGUUCGGAUUCAUUGGGCGUAAAGGGUGCGUAGGUGGUAGACUAAGUCGGAUGUGAAAUCCCAGGGCUCAACCCUGGAACUGCAUUCGAUACUGGCCUGCUCGAGGACUGGAGAGGAGAUUGGAAUUCAUGGUGUAGCAGUGAAAUGCGUAGAUAUCAUGAGGAAGACCAGUGGCGAAGGCGGAUCUCUGGACAGUUCCUGACACUGAGGCACGAAGGCUAGGGGAGCAAACGGG
rnacentral:rRNA from 1 species